rnacentral:rRNA from 1 species
UACGGAGGGUGCAAGCAUUAAUCGGAUUUAUUGGGCGUAAAGGGCGCGUAGGCGGUCACGCACGUCCGUUGUGAAAUCGCUCGGCUCAACUGGGCGGGGUCAGCGGAUACGGCGUGGCUGGAGCAAGCUAGGGGGCAAUGGAAUUCCCGGUGUAGUGGUGGAAUGCGUAGAUAUCGGGAGGAACACCAGUGGCGAAGGCGGUUGCCUGGAGCUUUGCUGACGCUGAUGCGCGAAAGCGUGGGGAGCGAUCCGG